rnacentral:rRNA from 1 species
CAGUGGGGAAUAUUGGACAAUGGGCGAAAGCCUGAUCCAGCCAUGCCGCGUGUGUGAAGAAGGUCUUCGGAUUGUAAAGCACUUUAAGUUGGGAGGAAGGGUUGUAGAUUAAUACCCUGCAAUUUUGACGUUACCGACAGAAUAAGCACCGGCUAACUCUGUGCCAN